CUACGGGAUGCUCCAGUCGCGAAACCUUUACAAUGCACGCAAGUGUGAUAAGGGAAUUCUGAGUGCUUACGCAUUAGUGUAGGCUUUUUGCAAGGGUAAAAACCUUGCAGAAUAAGUGGUGGGCAAGACUGGUGCCAGCCGCCGCGGUAACACCAGCGCCACAAGUGGGAACCAUUAUUAUUGGGUCUAAAGCAUCCGUAGCCGGUCCAGCAAAUGCCCUGUGAAAUCAUUGCGCUCAACGCAAUGGCGUGCAGGGUAGACUACUGGACUUGGGACCAGGGGAGGUAGACGGUAUUCCAGGGGGAGCGGUAAAAUGUGAUAAUCCCUGGAGGACCACCGAUGGCGAAGGCAGUCUACCACAAUGGAUCCGACGGUGAGGGAUUAAAGCUAGGGGAGUGAUCCGGAUUAGAUACCCGGGUAGUC
rnacentral:rRNA from 1 species